UGUCGCGGGAACAAGAGAUCCAAAACUCAAAGAGUUAGAAGAAAAAGUGCUAUCACUUCAUAUGGAUUCUUCUACCGUAGUAGAACUUGAGAUUAAAUGACCUGUACCAUCUAGAAUAAUGUGAGAGUAAAGGCCGUUGUUGUUUCAGAGUCUGAUGGAGAUAAAAAGAGCUGUUACAAUUAGAAGGUUGGCUCCAUCUUGUUAUGCAGCAAUAAAUAUAAGUAUCGGAAUUUAUGAAGGCAAAAUUUGAUC